rnacentral:rRNA from 1 species
AUUGAACGCUGGCGGCAUGCCUUACACAUGCAAGUCGAACGGUAACAGGUCUUCGGAUGCUGCCGAGUGGCGAACGGGUGAGUAAUACAUCGGAACGUGCCCGAUCGUGGGGGAUAACGAGGCGAAAGCUUUGCUAAUACCGCAUACGAUCUACGGAUGACAGCGGGGGAUCUUCGGACCUCGCGCGGACGGAGCGGCCGAUGGCAGAUUAGGUAGUUGGUGGGAUAAAAGCUUACCAAGCCGACGAUCUGUAGCUGGUCUGAGAGGAUGAUCAGCCACACUGGGACUGAGACACGGCCCAGACUCCUACGGGAGGCAGCAGUGGGGAAUUUUGGACAAUGGGCGAAAGCCUGAUCCAGCCAUGCCGCGUGCAGGAUGAAGGCCUUCGGGUUGUAAACUGCUUUUGUACGGAACGAAAAGCCUCUUUCUAAUAAAGAGGGGUCAUGACGGUACCGUAAGAAUAAGCACCGGCUAACUACGUG